rnacentral:tRNA from 1 species
GGAUCUGCUGGCGGAGCUGGGCGCCGUGGUCGAGGAGAUCGACCCGGGGUUCGAGGAUCCGGUGGAGGCGUUCCACACGCUGUGGUUCAGC